rnacentral:rRNA from 1 species
GAUGAACGCUGGCGGCGUGCCUAAUACAUGCAAGUCGAGCGAACGGACGAGAAGCUUGCUUCUCUGAUGUUAGCGGCGGACGGGUGAGUAACACGUGUAUAACCUACCUAUAAGACUGGGAUAACUACGGGAAACCGGCGCUAAUACCGGAUAAUAUUUUGAACCGCAUGGUUCAAAAGUGAAAGACGGUCUUGCUGUCACUUAUAGAUGGAUCCGCGCUGCAUUAGCUAGUUGGUAAGGUAACGGCUUACCAAGGCAACGAUGCAUAGACGACCUGAGAGGGUGAUCGGCCACCCUGGAACUGAGACACGGUCCAGACUCCUACGGGAGGCAGCAGUAGGGAAUCUUCCGCAAUGGGCGAAAGCCUGACGGAGCAACGCCGCGUGAGUGAUGAAGGUCUUCGGAUCGUAAAACUCUGUUAUUAGGGAAGAACAUAUGUGUAAGUAACUGUGCACAUCUUGACGGUACCUAAUCAGAAAGCAACGGCUAACUACGUG